rnacentral:rRNA from 1 species
UUCCGGUUGAUCCUGCCGGACCUGACUGCUAUCGGAUUGAUACUAAGCCAUGCUAGUCUUUGUAGUAAUACAAGGCAUACGGCUCAGUAACGCGUAGUCAACCUACCCUAUGGACGGGGAUAAUCUCGGGAAACUGAGCAUAAUACCCGGCAGACCACUUAUCCUGGAAUGGUUAGUGGUUAAAAUGAUUCGUCGCCAUAGGAUGGGACUGCGGCCUAUCAGCUUGUUGGUGAGGUAAUGGCCCACCAAGGCGAUUACAGGUACGGGCUCUGAGAGGAGAGGCCCGGAGAUGGGUACUGAGACAAGGACCCAGGCCCUAUGGGGCGCAGCAGGCGAGAAAACUUUGCAAUGUGCGAAAGCACGACAAGGUUAAUCCGAGUGAUUUCUGCUAAAGGAAUCUUUUGUUAGUUCUAAAAAUACUAGUGAAUAAGGGGUGGGCAAGUUCUGGUGUCAGCCGCCGCGGUAAAACCAGCACCUCAAGUGGUCAGGAGGAUUAUUGGGCCUAAAGCAUCCGUAGCCUGUUCUAUAAGUUUGCGGUUAAAUCUAUACGCUCAACGUAUAGGCUGCCGUAAAUACUGUAGAACUAGGGAGUGGGAGAGGUAGACGGUACUCGAUAGGAAGGGGUAAAAUCCUUUGAUCUAUUGAUGACCACCUGUGGCGAAGGCGGUCUACCAGAACACGUUCGACGGUGAGGGAUGAAAGCUGGGGGAGCAAACCGGAUUAGAUACCCGGGUAGUCCCAGCUGUAAACGAUGCAGACUCGAUGAUGCAAUGGCAUAGAGCUAUUGCAGUAUCGCAGGGAAGCCGUUAAGUCUGCCGCCUGGGAAGUACGUACGCAAGUAUGAAACUUAAAGGAAUUGGCGGGGGAGCACCACAAGGGGUGAAGCCUGCGGUUCAAUUGGAAUCAACGCCGGA